rnacentral:tRNA from 1 species
GCAGGUAUAGCCAAGCGAUAAGGCAAGCGGCUGCAACCCGCUGAUCCUGGGUUUGAUUCCCAGUACCUGCU